GACGAACGCUGGCGGUGUGCUUAACACAUGCAAGUCGAACGGUAAGGCCCUUUCGGGGGUACACGAGUGGCGAACGGGUGAGUAACACGUGAGUAACCUGCCCUCAUCUCUGGGAUAACAGUCGGAAACGGUUGCUAAUACUGGAUAUGAGCUUGCAAGGCAUCUUGUGGGUUGGAAAGAUUUUUUUGGUUGGGGUUGGACUCGCGGCCUAUCGGCUUGUUGGUGAGGUAGUGGCUCACCAAGGCUUCUACGGGUAGCCGGACUGAGAGGGUGACCGGCCACAUUGGCACUUACAGACGGCCCAAACACCGACGGGAGGGAGCUGUGGGGAAUAUUGAACAAUGGACGGCAGGCGGAUGCAGCAACUCCGCGGGCGGGAUGACGGCCUUCUGAUUGUAAACCGCUUUUGAUUGUGACGAAGCUUUUUGUGACGGUAGCAGUAGAAGAAGCACCGGCUAACUACGUG
rnacentral:rRNA from 1 species